GUCUGGAGCGUCCUACAUUUGGGGAUGCCUCAUCCUCCUUGGCGAGGUGGGGACCCUGGUCACCCUGCUGUGCCCAUGACGGUUUAAAGUCCAGGUAUUCCCAGAAUAAGGUCCUCCUCCAGAUGUUUUUGGACCUCAGCACCCAAAAGCCUCAGUCAUCUUUUUUGUUUUAGGUAGAAUGUUUAUUUAAUUUCUGUAAGAGAAAAAGAAGUAUGUGUUGGCAAUCAACAAACUCUGUUUUCAAAGACUGUAUUAACUCUGAAGGACAUUAUGAAUCAUAAAAGAGUAUUAAGUAGCAUUGCAUUAAAAAACAACAACACUGGAACAAUGCAGUUACUCAUUUGAAAGAUGUGCUGGCUAUGAUUUUAUUUUUAAAUAACAUAUUGUUAGUCCCAGAAGUGGCCUUGAACGCUCAUUGCAAGAAAUGGGUCAAUGCUCUUCAUGCAGCUCAAAUUCUUUCCAACAAACAGGCCAUCUCUUGCCUCUUCUCAGUGUCAGUUUUCAAAUAUGUCUGGCGUCUGUAUAGAGCAGCUACUACAAGCCUCAUUCAUCUUGACCCAUGGUUUGGGAUUCUGGGAACAGAAGUCCAAAACAUCUGGAAGGCCAGAGUUUGGGAAUCACUGGCACAUGCACAUCCUGCACCCUACUUUUUCCUCACCUGGGGGACCCAAAAAGGUUGUGGCAUUUGCUUGUGUCCCCUUAAAACACCAAAGAGAUGGGGUGAGUGGGGUGACGCUCAGUGGGAGCAGAAAGGAGAGUCCCUGGAUUUGUUUGGUUGGUUUUUUAAUUAACAUGUCAAUUUUUUACCAAAUUCUCACUUUAAAGCACAUGAAACUAAGUGUAUGGAAAUACAUUUAGCCUGCGCAGAGGUGGUGCUGAAGAAGAGUGCUGAGGACAGCCUAAAAGAUGAACAAAUAGUUUACAACACGGGGAACAAUGGUAAGAAUAAACAUUAUUUAUCCCUAGGCUUAGAUUAACCAGGCUCCACUCAUGAUCCAUCAAGCCAGGUGUUGUCCUGGUUUCAUCCUUUACUUGUAUGAUCAAGUCCCCCUCCAGUUGUUACUUAAUCCAUUUAGCUUCCCAUUUCAUCCCAGUUUGGCUCUGCCAGGAGACCAUUACUAUUUCUUUUAUCUACUUUUAACAACAUGAUUUAAAAUAACAUCCAAAACAUACAUACAUACAUAUAUUCUCAUACUUAAAAACUUUCACCUGAUCUUACAAUUUUUACAUGCUUUUGCAAGGAAACUGUUCUCCUUUCGCAUAAACUUUAACUUCUUCCAAUCAGUUUUCUUUCCUAGAAAGAAUAUGUAGAUAGUAAACGCCAUUUGACAGCAGAAGAAACUGGGCCAGAGAUGGUGAGUUUUUGUUCGUCAGAUAUUUGCAAGUGCAGCCUGGAUGGCCACCUGUCAGGGAAAUAGCGAGAGACUUUCUUAUCCGCUUGGGGGUGGAUUUGGGUAACUUUUGAUAGUAUUUCUGAUGCUAUCAGAAAUACUAUCAAAAGUAUUUGAUAAUAUUUCUGAUGAUGAUUUUAUUAUCAUGGAUGAUUGUGAACACCAACUAAGCUAUCCUACUGAAGAUGGGACAGAACAUCUGUAAAUUGUGCAAAUAGUAUUAUAAUGGGAUCCUCGCUUAUCGUCUCACUAAUGCAGUGUCCACUAACUUUAGUAUAAUACCACCAGAUGGAAGUCAUAAUACUGUGUGCUCCUAGCGGACAUCUUGUUUUCUUCCCUCACAGUCCAUCUUCCUCACCAUCACUUUUCUAUUCCCACUUGCAGUGACUGAUGAGGUCUCAGGCAGAAGACGUUUCCAACAUCACCUGCUAUCCUAUCAAUUUUUCUAGGAUUGUGUGUACUUGCAAGUUACCAGAUACAGCUGAGCCCUCUGCAAACAAAAUUCACCCUAAGAACUCAUUCACACUGCAGCAUUAAAUCACUUUGAUACCAUUUUCACUACCAUGAAAUCCUGGGAUCUGUAAUUUCUGGGGUCACUGGAUAGAGGAGAUGCUUCACAUUCCAGCAUGGGCUAAGGAUUUAUGGUCUGUUUUGAUCAUGAUUACCAGUUGGCUUGUUUCAUUUAGUCUGACUGCAGCCAUUUCCCACUGCUAAUAAUGUCCUUCAGAGAAAACCAGCUGGCAGUUUUGGCCAUCAUCUUUUAUUCUGUCCUGGUAUCGCUCUAUUAGGUACAGCGUGUGCCCAAAUAACAACACUUGUGUUGUUGGAUUUGAACUGCAACUGGUGCUAAUAAUCAUAGCUUUUUUGAUCUCCUGCAUGACUUCCUGAUUUGAUCCCCUGAUAAUGUCAACUGUUCAUUGGGAAGGCCUAUAAUGUUUGAUAAGUAAGUCAAGAAACCUUGGAAAUUUAUUAUUCCCAGAAAAUAUAAGAGAUCUGUGAUUUUAGAUUUUGACAUUUCUUAAUUCUUUUUCUUUCUAUAAGGUCGCAGCAUAUAUUAUCUUCCCAGAACAUGUACAGAGAUUGGAGUCCACACUCAAGUUUUAAUCAUGUAUUUCUCUUGACUUUGCUGAUUUUUGGGACUGGCACUGUGCCUAGGAAGAGAUGGGAAAAGUUCAGGGCAUGUUUUCAAUUUAGACUUAAAGGGAAUCUGCAUCCUGUUCAGACCCUGGAAAAGUGUCUACUGUGUGAUUCUGCCUGAGAUCCAGCAUCUCUGACUUCUUAUGCUACUCCUUCCAAACAUGUAAUUGCUCCCAGCUCCUCACCUGCUCCAACUAGUUGUUCUCAUCCCUUGUCCAUAUAAAUGUCUAAUUUGUCUUCCUCCCGCUCCUGCACCCACGUUACUCUUCUAGAUUGCUUUAAAUCUUCUUCUUGUUGCUGACAGUUUCUUUGGGUUCCUUCAAAGUCUUCUGCUCAUGAUUCCUUCAGGUUCUUAACUACUCCUAGAAGGCUCUGUCGUGAAUGUAAUUCAGAUACAUCAAUAGCUAUGGCUCCUUGAAUUAUACCUGAUGCUCACUGAUCUUGCUUCAUCAUUCUAACUGCUUGAUUACCUGCCAAAGACUGAAGAAAGGGAUGGGUUAGUUAUAAUCUGCCAUACUGCUACAGCCACAAAACAUGCUUUUGCAAAACUAGCCUUUUCCUUCCAAUUUUAUCAGACAGAACCUUUUCUUCAUCAAUUUUAUUUCAAUGAUUCUUUCUGUUACAUUACUGUCAUUGUUUUUCCCUGCUUUGUUUCCUGGACUGUGCUUGUAGAUCUCCCUUGAAGGGCAGUAUAACAGUUGCUCCCAUGAGCCUUACUGAUAUCAGGACAUCUGGAUGAUAUUGCUAUAUUAUUUUUAAACUGCGAGCUAUUAGGCUUUGCCUCAGACCCUAGUGGAAAAACCCCAAUAAGUCUUAUCACUUCAACUAUUUGUAAAGAGCUUUGAGUGGUUGCAGGGGUUACAUUUCUGUUUCACACUUCUCUAAUGCAACUUCCCCAUUCUUUCAUACAUCUCAAUGUAGUCAUAUUUGUUCAAAUUCAAAUGUAACUCAUUGAGACUGCAAAUAUUUUAUUAUAAAAUCCAUUAAUGGCUGAUUUUCAGGAACCCCCAGUUUUGUAGGAUAAUAGAGUUGGGCUUGUUCCAUGCAGCCACAACAAAGAAGACAGCUGUAUGGACCACUCUCCUUUUACUGUUUAAAUCGUGCAUUGUGUUCCUGUUGAAGUUUCCAAAGCAUUUGCUAUUUACAGACCAAGAAACUGAUUGUUAUAGCAAAUGCUUUGCUGGGAACCAUCUGCUCUCUUGGUGUUGUUCCUUGUCCUCUAUUUCUUGUAAUAUGCCUUAGUUUUCUUUCCAACUAGUUUAAUAAACCUUUUCAAAAUACACCAAAUUUUGUAUGUAUGUACCUUCAAGUUGCUGUCAAUUUAUGGCAACUCCAUGGAAUUUCAUAGGGUUUUCUUUGGCAAGAAAUAUUCAAAGGUUGGCCCAGAGUUAACUGAAAGUCCAGGCAUGGGAUUCAGAAGAUGGGAUAAUUCAGACUUGAGGGAUUCAGAAGUGGGGAAAGGGCGGAGGUCCUGAAUUCAGACUGUGUUACAAGUGAUGACUUGUAACUCUCCCUGUGCUCUCCACAGGUGUUUCCCAGAGAUGAAGCAUCUUCUCCCACAACUUGUUCUGAGUAGACCAGGCAAGACAGCCUCCAUGUGAUCAGCUACAACAAACAAGUCUGUCUCCAGUCAUCUCCAUAGGAAGGGUGCCAGAUUCCCAGGGCUUGACCAAGAACAUCAGCAGAAGGUCAUAGAAUCAUCUAUUUUCUUUUUAUAUACAUGAUUUAAAUGUGAUGUAUUACAUGUCACAGAAAUUCCUUUGAAAGAUUUUACUGCUUUAUUAUAUUCUUUAAAAUAAUAUUAAUUCAGCUUAUACAAAAGCAUGAUAUCAUCUGCUUGAUUUCCUAUUGUGUAUGCCAGUGUAUUAAUGUGCUUUCCUUUCCUUUUCCUUGAGCUAUCUGGAACAUCUCAGAUCUGCACCUUAAAACUUAUUGGACUCUACUGGCAGGAGUAGACACUGCUAAUGGAGAUUGCUCAGGGAAAUGGACAUUAAAAGAUGGUCCUGUCAUUCACUUUCUGUCCCCAAAUGUAGACUUCUGCUCACCUUCAUUGUUCUUGACACCUCCAGUGCUGGAAGAGCCAAGGAGCAACAGUAGGAGGAAGAGAAAAUAGAGGGAAUGAGGAAGAACGAAGUGGAGGUACAGAAGUUUCCUCCUGCACCCACUUUUGUUACUGGGGCCACGUGUUUUCUGGAGCCCUGCAGCUACAACC